rnacentral:lncRNA from 1 species
GGGAGAGUAUCAUGGUUACAGCUGGAUCACCUAAGGCAGAGAGGGAAGGAACCAACAGGUAUAUGAAGAAGACUGUAUUUCCUCCUCAGGAAGAAAAAAUCACCUAUAACUGCGAUGAAUUUUAGCCAAAUUCAAGAGGCCUUGAAUUUGAAAUUGUCACUCAGAUUUGACUAAGUCAGGUAGAGUUGGUCAAAUCUGAUGGGAGAAAGACCAGAACAAACAACAACAACAAAAAUCUCAACAAUAUGAUCACUGGGUGCUCCAAUGUCUUCCAACAGUGCUUCCCUUGGUUGAAACCACAUGGUAACCAUUGAGCAGAAGAACCUAGGAAAUACAGUUUUCAGAACAGCAAGGAGAAAGCUGAAGAAUAAAAAAGGGGAAAGAGGGUUGCCAAUUAUAGUUGAUUUGACAUGAAUAUGAGUCUUCUGUUGCUUCCUAAAAACAAAUAGCACUCUCAAAACCAUUUCUAUCUUACACCUUCAGAGAAGCCAGCCUUCAUUAAAGACUGAAUGAAGUAAAAUAAAGACUUAACACAGACUGGCAAAUUGGAUAAAGAGUCAAGACCAAUCAGUGUGUUUUAUUCAGGAGACCCAUCUCACGUGCAGAGACACACAUAGGCUCAAAAUAAAGGGAUGGAGGAAGAUCUACCAAGCAAAUGGAAAACAAAAAAA